rnacentral:rRNA from 1 species
UACAGAGACUGCAAGCGUUAUUCGGAUUCACUGGGCGUAAAGGGUGCGCAGGCGGCCGUGUGUGUGAGGCGUGAAAGCCCGGGGCUUAACCCCGGAAUUGCACCUCAAACUACAUGGCUAGAGCAUUGGAGAGGGUAGCAGAAUUCAUGGUGUAGCAGUGAAAUGCGUAGAUAUCAUGAGGAAUACCAGAGGCGAAGGCGGCUACCUGGACAAUUGCUGACGCUCAGGCACGAAAAGCGUGGGGGAGCAAACAGG